CCUUUCCCCGCUGGGCCAGCCGCAGCCGGAGAAACGGGGAACUGAGACCGAGAGGCGGGAUGUGGAUGCGCGAGUGGGGGGAGCCUGGCAAGGGGGAGGAGAGAAGAGGAGACAGAAAGGAAAAGGCUCCAGAGGCGGAGGGCGCACGGAGGCCAGGCACCGGGAGAGGAGGGGGCUGCGCGGAAGGCCAGGACGAAAGCGGGGCGGGCGUUUCCCCCAAUCCAGUUCCGCUCCCAGCCUCCCCCGUGGCUCGGUCGGUCCGGAACCAGCGGCGCUGCCAGGCGGAGAAGUGCUGGUGCAAGGAGGAGAGGGGUGGUCCCGGUGUCCUCCCCUAACACACCCCCACCCAGCCCCGGCCUCAUUUGCCUAAUGCAAUGCGGCUGAACUCUCGCUGAACUCGCCUGGCGCGCCUCACCUCCGGGUGACCCACCCACCACUGCCCGUGACAUCACCCGCUCGCCAACCCGCCCGUGGGGCUCGCCUGCCGGCCCCCUGCCCAACCGGGCUGGGCCGGCUUCCCUGUUGGCACCAAGAGAUGCCGCGAGAGGCAAAGGGCCGGGGUGCGUGCGGCCAAGUGUUAGAGCCUGGGACGCGGCGUGCCGGGUGUCCUGGGUGUGACAUUGUGCAGCUCAGGCGCUGCGUCGGAUUGAGACACCCGGCUUGUGUCAUUGUCUGUGACAUCAUGUGUGACUGGCCGCCCGCCCGCCGGAACCCGACGCUGCAGCGCGGGUGCUUCGGCAAAGACGUGCAGCCGGGGCUCCCCUCCCCACGCUCCGCGUGCUUCCGGUGAGCAAAGCCCCGCCCAGGGUGUCUCCCAGUCUCGGAAGGAGGAUCCGCACCCCCACCGCACAGUCCAGCCCCUCGAGAGAUCAAAGGACCGGCUGAUGCCUUCCAACUGACCACUUCCUCCUGGGAGCCCUUGACAUGCCUGUUCAGGGAAGAAAGGCCUAGGUUGGGUGGAUCCCUGAAGCCGGGGAUGCCCCUGGAGGAGAGUGGAUCCCAUGACGCCCUUUGACCCUGCAGCGGAGCGGCGCUCCCCGAUUCCAAAAGGGGGUGGGGAUUUACAUGCUUCCCAAGGAUAUUCUUCUAGAAGCCAGAUUAUUAACGUGUGUAUAUUCCUGAACCCUAACAGGUACUGCAAGAGAAAAAAGCAGGCACCACUCCUACUUUACAUCGAGGCUACAUGGGUUGUCCGAGAUCACACUGCUAAUAAAGGGCAGGGAGAACCUACAAGAAAAUCCCAAGCAGGGGAGAGGCGAGAUCUGAGUGACAGCAUCUUAAGAUCAUCCUGGCAGCUAGCUGUGUGAAGAAUGGGCUGUAGGAGGGCACAAGAGACCGGCUGGAAGCUACAGUAGUCGCCCAGACAGCACACAACGGGGGUGCAGUCUAGGAAACCGGCAGUGCUGACAAACAGAGGAAGGAUGAUGCUCCAACCAUUGAGCCACACGGGCCAGCGCAAGGGUACUUGAAGCUCACCCAGGCCCUCACCAGCAAGCAGGUCGCCGUGGCCUCACAGCGAGUCCCCGAGCCUGAGCUGGGCUCCGAGUCUUGCUAAAGAGGAGGAAACAGGCUCAGAGAGAGGCUGGGCGGCCUGCCCAAGGCUGAACAGGAAGAGCUGUCCUCCAACACUGCUGCCCACAGGGGCGCCGGUGUGUGGUCUGGCUGAGGGUCCCAGCAACCCAGUCGUCAAAAUGGAGAGGAAAGGGCCUCCGUUUCUGAUCUCGCCGCCCGGGAGGCCCGGCUCCACUGGCUGUGCACAGACUCCACGAAGGAGGAGGAGGAAGAAGACAGUGUGGGCACCGCCCCAAAGUAGUUUGAAGAAGGGAAACACUUCCUCUUUCCACAGAUGCUACUACCCCUGAAGGGCCGUCAGGGCCAGCACUGGCCCAUCCCCAUGGGUACAUGGCCCUGGCAUGGGGUGGACAUAAUUUGUCUCAGGCCUCAGGGAGUCAAAGAGGACAGGCUUCCUUCCCUGAGUCCCCUCCCCCAAACCCAUGCUGCGAGCCUGCCCAGGAGGGGCCUGUACAUUAUUAACGCUGCCAGAUAAAAGGUGAGGGGCCCUAUUUUCAUUCGAAACUCCAUCCACUCUCUAUUGGCUGAUUCUAUAUUUUGGAGCCCGGAAAGGCCAACAUAACAAUACCCCCUCCCCUGGGCCGCCCCUCCUAUCCCUGGGAAAAGUGGGCAGGAGGGAGGAAGGGAGUGGCAGGGAAAAGGGGGAGAAGGGCACCCCCCCACCCCCAUGUCUCCCCAAGGUCCCAGGUCCUAGGGCUGUUCCCCAGUUUCUUGGCGCGCACAGUGAGUAUGAGGGCAGAAAGGAAGAGUCUAAGCCAAUCUCGGGGUUCCCAUUCCCUGAUCCUCUGCUGAUUGCUUCCACCUUCCCUGCCCCCAGCCCACAAACUGAAACAAAAAUAAGAACAUGAA